AGAGUUUGAUCCUGGCUCAGGACGAACGCUGGCGGCGUGCCUAACACAUGCAAGUCGAGCGGAGACAGUGAGUAGCUUGCUAUGAGCUGUUUUAGCGGCGGACGGGUGAGUAACGCGUGAGCAACCUUUCCCAGACAGGGGAAUAACACACCGAAAGGUGUACUAAUACCGCAUAAGACCACGGAAUCACAUGGUUCUGAGGUAAAAGAUUUAUCGGUUUGGGGUGGGCUCGCGUCCGAUUAGGUAGUUGGUGAGGUAACGGCCCACCAAGCCGACGAUCGGUAGCCGACCUGAGAGGGUGAUCGGCCACAUUGGGACUGAGACACGGCCCAAACUCCUACGGGAGGCAGCAGUGGGGAAUAUUGCACAAUGGGCGAAAGCCUGAUGCAGCGACGCCGCGUGAGCGAAGAAGUAUUUCGGUAUGUAAAGCUCUAUCAGCAGGGAAGAAAAUGACGGUACCUGACUAAGAAGCCCCGGCUAACUACGUGCCAGCAGCCGCGGUAAUACGUAGGGGGCAAGCGUUGUCCGGAAUAAUUGGGCGUAAAGGGCGCGUAGGCGGCUCGGUAAGUCUGGAGUGAAAGUCCUGCUUUUAAGGUGGGAAUUGCUUUGGAUACUGUCGGGCUUGAGUGCAGGAGAGGUUAGUGGAAUUCCCAGUGUAGCGGUGAAAUGCGUAGAGAUUGGGAGGAACACCAGUGGCGAAGGCGACUAACUGGACUGUAACUGACGCUGAGGCGCGAAAGUGUGGGGAGCAAACAGGAUUAGAUACCCUGGUAGUCCACACUGUAAACGAUGAAUGCUAGGUGUAGGGGGUAUCGACCCCUUCUGUGCCGCAGUCAACACAAUAAGCAUUCCGCCUGGGGAGUACGGCCGCAAGGUUGAAACUCAAAGGAAUUGACGGGGGCCCGCAC
rnacentral:rRNA from 1 species